GCUGGCGGGAUGCUUUACACAUGCAAGUCGAACGGCAGCAUAGAGAGCUUGCUCUCUGAUGGCGAGUGGCGAACGGGUGAGUAAUAUAUCGGAACGUGCCCAGUAAUGGGGAAUAACUAGCCGAAAGGUUAGCUAAUACCGCAUACGACCUACGGGUGAAAGCAGGGGAUCUUAGGACCUUGCGUUAUUGGAGCGGCCGAUAUCUGAUUAGCUUGUUGGUGGGGUAAAAGCCUACCAAGGCAACGAUCAGUAGCUGGUCUGAGAGGACGAUCAGCCACACUGGAACUGAGACACGGUCCAGACUCCUACGGGAGGCAGCAGUGGGGAAUUUUGGACAAUGGGGGAAACCCUGAUCCAGCCAUCCCGCGUGAGUGAAGAAGGCCUUCGGGUUGUAAAGCUCUUUCGAAAGUGAAGAAAACUUAUUUCGUAAUAUGUUAUAAGUAUGACGGUAACUUUAGAAGAAGCACCGGCUAACUACGUGCCAGCAGCCGCGGUAAUACGUAGGGUGCGAGCGUUAAUCGGAAUUACUGGGCGUAAAGCGUGC
rnacentral:rRNA from 1 species